rnacentral:lncRNA from 1 species
UGACCUUUUAAAUAGUUUAGAAAUCUAAUGUUUAUGUUACAUCAAAUUUUUCAUAGACCUCACCUCUGAAGACACAGAACUUCCUGCCAGCUCCCGAAACACCCUUGGAAGUGGUGGGCAUCAUGACUCACGGUCAGAUGAGGAAGGAGGAGAUGAGAGAACAUGUGGAAUGAAGGAUGGAAAGGAGAACCAACAAGAUGAAGGGAACUGGUAUUAGGAAAAGGCAGUGGCUGGAGCACGCUGAGGCUAGAAGAGUUGCCCCACAAGCCUGGGAAGCAUUUUGGAGCAGAGCCCACAGCCACUCACAUGAAAAAAAGCCCAGUUUUGAAAUAACUCAUUCUUGAUCUCUUCAUUAUACCAAGCUGCUCACCUAACUCAUUCAUACGGACUCCAAAACCAGUAAGAGCUAACAAUUCUUUAACAUUUUUUUGGAGGGUUUUUUCAUUGUUUUAUA